CCCCCCCCCCCCACACACACACACACAAACAAAGAGGCGUUAGGCUGAGACGCUGAAAGUCCGGAUUUAAAGUGCAGAAAAUGAAGCCAUUGAAUCUGCCUGUCCAUGACGUACAAAGACACACUAUGAGCCAGUAUGAUCCGACCAGACCUUACAUCAGCAUUGAGGAGUUGUCGGAGAAGAAAGAGGCUGAUUGAAGCGGGACAGACGACAUGGAUCCAUCCUUCCACAGCCAGGAGUGCACCGACCUGUGUCCCACACUUCAUAUAAGACUGGAAGCUACACUGGAUCUCACAGCUACACACCACAGACGUCUACACACUGGAGAAGAGUCCCACAAAGAAGUCAUGACCCAGAGGCUGCAGAGAAACAUUUCAAGCCUCACCUGAGAUUUUGUACAAUAUUUUUGCUGUAUGUAAAUAAAGCUUUCACUCCACAUA